GAAAGGACUGGGCUAGGGGCAUCUGCUGCUGCUGUUAAUGAUCCUCAAGCCUCUAUAGGGGUUGCUGUCAGGGAGGGAGGGCUGGCAGGUCCACGCUUCCAAUUUCCCAGAAUUGUUCCUUCUCUAGGGCAUCUCCUCAUCCCAGUUCCCAACCAACAGCUAAGAUAAUCCACCUUUUUUGUUUUUAAAUCCCUGAAAUCUGCCUGAGUUGGGCUCUGGUGAUGUGUCCCUGAUGUUUGAAGGGUUGCGUGCAUUAAUAAUGGGCUCUGAUGAUGUGUCUUUUACCCUGGGUUGUAGCUUGGUGACAGACAGCAGUAUCAGCAAGAACCAGCCACUACCUGGGAGCUACCCAAACAUACUCCCAGGAGCAGCUUUAGACUGUGAGGAAUGGCCUUCUCUGCUGAACCAGCCAGUACUCAGGAAUGGUCCUCCGUGAUGAGGAAGAGGGACAGUGGCCCCAGUCGACUCACACCUGAACCAAGGCAACCUCCCAGCAUCGCAGACCUCCAGCGCAGCUCAUCUCCCACUACUCCAGAAACAAUCCCCAGCCCUUGUUACUUUUAUCGACCAGGAGGAGAGGACGCUACCAGAUCCUGCUGCACCGAGUCAGCUUUGGAGGGUGUUAUGUUUAUCUCCUUCCCUUGAGUCAGUCUGACCCUCUGAGCCUUUCAGGCAAACAGACCCCAAUGUCCUUUCCUCUGUUAUGCUUUCUUGACCCCAGGAGAUCCUGGAGAGGGCCUUCCCUUCUCCUAUAUCUACAGAUCUUAUACCUUUCCCAUGAUUCCUGAUACCCUGUCCCUUUUUCCUGGUGUCUUUCUGGAAUGAUCAGCAAGGAGAUAAGGAACUUCCCUCCUGAUCUAGAAAUACUGAGCCAAACUGGACAGGAAAUUCCAACAAUUUCUCUCUUUAUUACCUCAAAAAUACUUCAAUUGUUUAAUUUUUGAAAAAGCUUGCCUGCCAUAAGAGCUAUUAUAGUAAGUGCUAUUGAGCUCUCAAUAUGCGCCAGACAUGUUCUGACUGUUAUACAUGAAUUAACUCAAUUAAUCCUCCUAACAAUGCUACAGGAUAGGGACUACCAAUCACCCCCAUUUUAUAGGUGAAAAAACUGAGGCAGACAACUCAGUAAUUUGUUCAAGGCCACAGCCAGCUAGCAGAAGAGCUGGGGUUCGAACACAGGUGUGCUCUGUACUCAGUGUCUAUGCUCCUAGACGCUCUGCAGUAGUGCCUAUAACAGCGUCAGUGCAAAGGGGAAAACCACAAUGAAAAGAGAAAAAGCAUAGGGCAAGCCUCCUACAUGCAGUGGGGUGGGGGCUGCAAAUAUGUACAUAACUUUUAAUGUAUGCUUUUAUGUUUUAUUCCAUCACAUCCUCUAUUUCCCUGUAGUGUUUUCUGUCUUAUAGGACAGGGAUUAUAUCUAUCUGACUUUUUGUAGAGCUAGUUACGUGUCAUAUGCAGAUGAAUACAUAUGCGGUGGAGACCACAGAUCAUUAAUACAUUAAUGAAUUAUUAAUAUACUAUUUUUAGUUUCUCCUAUACAACUUCCUAUGCAUGCUGUAAAUGCAACAGUAAUUAAAAUAGCUCACAUUUAUCCAGCACUUAUUAUAUUCUUCUUCUGGUAAACACUCUACCUUAUCCUAUGGAAACAUGUAGUUGAGAUAGGUGCAUAUAUUGUCUCAUCCAACACAUCUGGAAAUGGCAGCUUAAGGAAGGAUGGUAACAUACUCAACCUCACACAUGUAGAAUGAGUAGGAGCCGGGGUCUAAACCUGGCCCCAGACCUCUGGGUUUCAAACAUACAGAAAGGAGAAACAAAUACAUUUUGGUAUAAUGAUGUUUGUACACGGGACUCAAAGAACAGAGCAGCUAAUGCUGCCCAAAGAAACUGAGUUUUGUGAAGUAUUUACAUGAGUUGGGUGACAAUGGAAUAACUGGAAUUUUCCAGGCAAAAAAUAUGAAUGGAGGAAAGCUUUCUGGCAGGAGGGUAAGUACAAAGGACCAGGCAUCUCCAGGGAAAAGAGGCAAUCUGAAUUUGGCAGGAACAUUUAACUUCAAGGAGAGUGGCUGAAGAUGAUGCUAGAGUCUGCAACAAGCUCGGGAACGAUUUCUAUGCCUGGAGAAAGAACUUGAGCUUUAUUUAUAAGCAGUGGGAAGUCAAGAAGAGCUUUCAGGCAGGGAAUGACAUGCUAACUUUAAAAGAUGUUUCUCAGGGCAGAGUGAGAAUGGACUUCAGUGUGCUGAGGAGUGUGGGUGGGGGUAGACAGAUGAGCCAGGCCCACUCACAUGGUGGUGAGUAGUAAUGUCUCAGAAGGUGUCAGCUUAGCUCCAAGUCUCCUUCAGGAGGAGCUGGUCCAGGGCUGCCAUAAGCCUGCAGUGUCUUCCCAAAAAGGUGGAAAGAGGCUCCCCUGCCUCCCAACAGCUCUUUCAAGCUCAGACACUUGCUAAACUUGGCCAGCAGAGUGCAGACUCAGUCUUAGACUCCUUCCUCCAUCCCCUUGGUUGUGGGACCUGGACUCCUUAGGCAGGACCUGAAGGGAAGCUUCUCCUAAGCACAUGGAUGGGGAGACAGGGUGCCAGAGCCAAAGGUAAGGUGUGUGCCUGGCACAGCCACCCUGUAGCAAGGAAAAGCUGUUGAGUGUGACCCCUAAAGGCACACGCUUGGUGAAGCCAACAAACGUGGCUUCGUGACCCUGAGCAAGUUAUAUGAUUUCUCUAAGCCUCAGUUUGCUCAUCUGUUAAGUGGAGAAGGUAACUGUCUACCUGUUUGGGUUGCUGUGAGAAUUAAAUGAGAUCAUAAUGCACACAAAGGCCUUAACUCCGUGAGCACACGAUAUACACUGCCUGUUAGCUGUUAGUGUGCCUGCUAUCCCAACCACGAGUGAAAGCCCUUCUAGGCCUAGAAAAAGUUAUUGGCUAUACAUGCGCUUGAGUUAGCUGUCACCUGCCCUUAUCGCCUGCUCCCCCAAACCUCAGUAGGAGGAAGACUGGCAUCCAGAGACAGAUGGCAGUCAUGGGAACUGGAUAUAUCACAGCAUUCCAGGGUUGGCUCUGUCUACUGACUUCAUCAUAGCAGACAAUACGGUCAUAGGGCAGGGUCACUGGAGGAA
rnacentral:lncRNA from 1 species